UGGGGAAUUUUGGACAAUGGGCGCAAGCCUGAUCCAGCCAUGCCGCGUGCGGGAAGAAGGCCUUCGGGUUGUAAACCGCUUUUGUCAGGGAAGAAAUCUUCUGAGUUAAUACCUCGGGAGGAUGACGGUACCUGAAGAAUAAGCACCGGCUAACUACGUGCCAGCAGCCGCGGUAAUACGUGGGGUGCAAGCGUUAAUCGGAAUUACUGGGCGUAAAGCGUGCGCAGGCGGUUUUGUAAGACAGAGGUGAAAUCCCCGGGCUCAACCUGGGAACUGCCUUUGUGACUGCAAGGCUUGAGUGCGGCAGAGGGGGGAUGGAAUUCCGCGUGUAGCAGUGAAAUGCGUAGAUAUGCGGAGGAACACCGAUGGCGAAGGCAAUCCCCUGGGCCUGCACUGACGCUCAUACACGAAAGCGUGGGGGAGCAAACAGGAUUAGACACCCUGGUAGUCCAGCGCCCUAAAACGAUGUCAACUGGUUGUUGGGAAGGUUCCUCCUCAGUAAACGUAGCUAACGCGUGAAGUUGACCGCCUGGGGAGUACGGCCGCAAGGUUGAAACUU
rnacentral:rRNA from 1 species